rnacentral:rRNA from 1 species
CACGUAGGGGGCGAGCGUUGUCCGGAUUUAUUGGGCGUAAAGAGCUCGUAGGCGGCUCAGUAAGUCAGGUGUGAAAACUCCAGGCUCAACCUGGAGACGCCACUUGAUACUGCUGUGACUAGAGUUCGGUAGGGGAGACUGGAAUUCCACGUGUAGCGGUGAAAUGCGUAGAGAUGUGGAGGAACACCAGUGGCGAAGGCGGCUUUCUGGUCUGUAACUGACGCUGAGGCGCGAAAGCGUGGGGAGCAAACAGG